rnacentral:lncRNA from 1 species
UUUCUUUCUUUCUUUCUUUCUUUCUUUCUUUCUUUCUUUCUUUCUUUCUUUCUUUCUUUCUUUCUUUCUUUCUUUUUAUUUAUGGCAAACACAGAUGAGGCAACAAAAGCCAUAAAAGCUUCUGAGGCCUCUUUGUUUCUCCCCUUUGGAUCAUCUGUCACAGAGCCUGGCUGAGGUGGGAUGUGCUCACUCCAGGCACAGCCCAGGUGCUCUUUGCUGCUGUUGUCUGUGAAAUCUCUGAUUAUUAGCAAUAAAUCCUGGGCUUGGCCUGCAGGGAAGGAGAUUUUUGCCAGCCUGUGCUUUGCAGAUUUUGGCAUCCCCUUGCAGCAGGGGAGGGUGAGGGGUGUCCUGCCCCAGCAGUGGAUGCUUCUCCUUGUGCAGAAUCCAGGAGAAUUGACAUUGAACAUCGUGCCUGGCAUUAAAGGGACACUAACUGUGCUCCUGGAGGUCUCACCUGGGAACAGAAAGUUUAAAUUGGCUGGUAAGUAGUGAUUCAUUCUCAAAAAAAAAAAAACAAACCAUACUUUUCUUAAUUCAACCCUUGGAAUUUUUGGUUAAUAUCUGACUCUCUGGUCUGAUCCAUCUCCAAUUCAUCCUUUCUUGUCAAGCUAGUUUUAAUAAUUGUAACACCCUCAGCUGUUUUGUUUAGGUAAUAGAGAACAAUUCAGCCUGAAGAAAAUUAAUUUUCCUGUUUCACGUGGUUUUGGGUUCUUUUUCUUUUUCUUUUUUUUUUUUUUUUUGGGGGGGGGGGGGGGGGGGGGGUUUUUUUUCUUUUUCUUUUUUUUUUUUUUUUUUCUUGUAGUUUUCUAAUGAAUUCUAGAAAAUAGCAGUGAAAAUAGGGAAGUCUGAAGUAAACAUUGAUUUUUACAGUGCAAUAAUUUAUGGUACCAACUUAAUAAGCGGUGUGACAGCAGCAGCUCACCCCCCAUUUAUCAUGCAUUGAUAGUUUGAUUCCAGAACUUUUAACACCACUGCUCGCUGUGACAUAAUAAAGGACCUGCCAACAUUCCCAUUAGAACCACGAGAUUUUAGGAGUUCUGCUUCAGCUAUAAAUAUCAGGAUUUGGAAUCUAUGAAUUAUUUUGCAGAGUAACAACCUCGGAAUGACUUGUCCCAGCAACUGGGAAGAAAUAAGAGUUUUUUGAACUUCAGGGGGACAUCUCCCUGUGUUCAGAAGAAGAGGCUCGGGGUUGCUCAGGCUGUGUCCACCAUCACAAGUUUCCCAGCUCAGAGCUCAGAUAGUUCAGAAGAAGAGGCUCGGGGAUGCUCAGGCUGUGUCCACCAUCACAAGUUUCCCAGCUCAGAGCUCAGAUAAAUCACUUUAAUUCCACAGGCAGCAAGGAGGAGGCAGCA